CUUCCUUCCAAUUAUAUUUUUUCCAAAACCUAACAUUCCGAUUUUGCUCUCAUCUCUCUCAAAUCAAAUCGCUGCUGCUUUCUUUCUCUACACCCCCGACCUCACAAAUGGAUAAGAAUAAUGGAAGUGGAAGCCAACAGCAACCUGAUGGAAAAGUG